GGCAACACCAGAUCUGAGCCUCAUCCUACACCUAUACCACAGCUCACGGCAAGCCCGGAUCCUUAACCCACUGAACGAGGCCAGGGAUUAAACCCGUAUCCUCAUGGAUACUAGUUGGGUUCUUAACCUGCUGAGCCAUGACUGAAACUCCAGUCUGCAUUACACUAAUCCCCACCAGUGGUGUAUAAGUGUCCCAAUUUCUCCACAUCUUCACCAACUUUUGAACUGUCUGGCUUUUUGAAAAGAGUUACCCCAGUGGAGGUACAGUUGCCUUUUUACGAAGACUGUGAACUCCUGGAAAACUGGAAUCAAGUUUUAUUCAUCUUUACCUUUUCCUUUUUUGUCUUUUGUCCUUUUAGGGCCACACCUGUGGCAUAUGGAGGUUCCCAGGCCUACACCAGAGCCACAGCAAUGCCAGAUCCGAACCGCAUCUUCAAACUACACCACUGCCCACGGCAACGCCAGAUCCCCAACCCAAUGAGAAAGGCCAGGGAUUGAACCCACAACCUUAUGGUUCCUAGUCGGAUUCAUUUCCCCUGUGUCAGGACAGGAAUUCCUCAUCUUUACCUUUUCAAUGGCUAGCACUGCCAGGACCUGGUAGGCACCACAUUUGGUUAGUGGUCGAGUGAACUAGCAGAGAUAAGUUGAAGAAGUGAAUGAGGGCAAUUAUAAUGGACAAUCAGAGAAGGACAUUGGGUGGGGGUGGGGGUGGAAGCAAUUGGCCUUAGUGACUGGCUGUGGGAGGAUGGGGUGAAUGGAUUAAUUUCAUUCUCACUCUUCAGUGGUGUGACUGGCAAAGAUGCCCCCUGCUGGUUCCAGCACAGACCCCAGGGUACUUACAGUGUCCAGAGACCCAUCUCAUCUGGGGAACCUAGUCUGAGACGCUUGAUUCUGCCUCGUCUUCCUCAUCUGCACCAUUACCUUCUUAAAAUUGUGGAACGCUUCUAACUCUGUGGACAUUGUUCUAUUUGGAUUUUUAAGUUAGCUUUAUUAAUAUCAUCAUUAAUUUGGCUACGCCUGUGACAUGUAGAAGGUCCUGGGCCAGGAAUCAAACCUGUGCCGCAACAGGGGCCCAGGCCACCACAGCGACAGUGCUGGAUCCUUAACCCGCUGCACCACAAGGGAACUCCUGUUUUGAUUUUGAUACUUAAAUGGUCAUGAGAGACAUGGGUUUAUUUAUCCUCACUUUGGAAAAUGAGAAACUGAAACCCAAAGGCCUCACUCCUAACUGGUGAUAAAGCUAGGGCUCUACCUAAAGUUUCUUGACCCUGAGUAAUAGAUGUUCUUUUUCCAACAUGAAGUUGCCUGUGAAUGACCUCUCAAGAUGGCUUUUUAAAGCUCUGUGAACUCAAAUCAGAAUUGACUAUAAUGGAUUGCUUCAAAGUGAAGGAAUGCUUUUAUAUCAAGUGCUGCAUUUAAAUUAAGUAGUAUCUUUUCAUAGCCAUAAUUCUGACCUUUUCUAAGGGGAAGGUUUCAGUCUGUAAACAUCCAUUCAAAGAGGAAGUCUGUGUGUUGCUUAAGCAUGUGGGCUCGGCAGUCAGACAGACAUAAGCUGUACCUUGAGGAUUUUCUCAACUGUUGAUUUCUAAGGGAAAGUCACAUUUCGAAGAAUUUCCAGAAAGGGAUCAUCAAGACAGCAAGGGGUGUGUAAACAUUUUUGCAUGAGAAAUAGAUGAAGCACCUGAUAAUGGUCACUUUGGGGAAAAAAAGAGAAACAUAACUGUUGUGAAAUGAUAGAAAAUAUAUCUUGUAAAGGACAGUGUUCUGUUGUAACCAUGACUCGGGUGAACAAACAGGAAAUCACAGAAAGGCGGGAUUUUGUUGACUAGAAGAAAACAUUUAAAAAUAAAUAGAAUAUCUCAGAAUAGAGGGUUGGCUGACCAUGUCCUGAGCUCCUCCUCCAGGGACAUACUUACAUAAUCAGUGCCUCCCUGCUCCUGCCAAGGAUGUUAUGUCAUGGGUUCUGCCCUUGUGGGAAUGGGCUUCAUUAUUCAGAGAUUUCUUUCCGAUCCAACUUUGAGUGCAACGUGUACUUUUGAUAAUGUGAACUGGGUUUAUAGUCUAUGUUUUUCAGAACAGCAUUUGUCCCACAAGCUAGUUCUCUCCAUUACCUGUCUUUUAUCUGCCAAUUUUACAUAAUUCUAGCCACCCAGGCUUAAAACGUGAAUGGACUUUAAUGCUUUUCCCAUCUUCUCUUUUUCUCCUUUCCAUGAGUUCAAAUGGUCACUAAAUUCUACUAGGUCAACCUCUGCAAUAUCUAGCUUGUUACCUUUUUCCAUUCCCAAUUCAGGGCUAUAAGAUACCAUCUCUACUGGUUCUACCACUUCGAGGCUUUCUCCUUUAUUGUUCGUCCUGUCCAUGUGCCAGAUGGAUAUAGGUGGUGGCUCUGUUAACUUUCCUAAACACUGCUCUAGCAAACCCACUUUCACUUUCCUAGUCACAAGUUUCUUUUCUUUUCUUUCUUUCCUUUCUUUUUUCUUUUUCUUUUUGUCUUUUCUAGGGGCACACCCUCGGCAUAUGGAAGUUCCCAGGCUAAGGGUCUAAUCAGAGCUCUAGCUGCCAGCCUAUGCCACAGCCGCAGCAGUGUGGAAUCCAAGCUCUGUCUGCAACCUACACCAUAGCUCAUGGCAAUGUCGGAUCCUUAACCCACUGAGCGAGGCCAGAGAUUGAACCUGCAUCCUCAUGGAUGCUAGUUGGGUUUCUUAAUGCUGAACCACAAGGGGAACUUUCAUAUCCACAGUUUUCAUUGGCCCUAUUGACUACCAAAGAAAGCCCUUUUUUAUUUAUUUUUUUCUUUUGCUGAUUAAAGUAUAGUUGAUUGAUAAUGUGCCAAUUUCUGCUGUACAGCAAAGUGACACCGUCAUAUAUAUAUGUAUAUAUAAAAUAUGAAAUAUACAAUGAAAACAUAUAUAUAUAUAUUCUCUUUAUUACAUCGUCUUCCAUUAUGGUCUAUCCCAAGAGACUGGAUAUAGGUCCCUGUGCUAUAUGAUAGGACCUCAUUGCUUAUCCAUUGUAAAUGUAAUAAUCUGCAUCUACUAACCCCAAACUCCCAGACCAUGCCAAUCCCUCCCCCUUGGCAGCCACAAGUCUGUCUCCAGGUCUAUGAGUCUGUUUCUGUUCUGUAGAUAAGCUCAUCUGUGCCAUAUUUUAAAUUCCACGUAUAAGUGACCUCGUAUGGUAUUUGUCAGAAAGCCCUUUUUUAGAGCCCGGUGUCUCAUUAGUGCUCGAUACUUAUUCAUGUUUCAGGUCAACUGGUUACUCUUCCCCCAUGUUUGCAGCUCCGUGAUGGAAUGUCCCUACCUCUCCUUUCCUCCCACUGAAACCUUAUCUCUUCUUUGGCAUUAAAUGGCAUGGCAGUAUAGUGCCCUUAUUCCUUUCCUGACAUUUGAACAUGCUGGGACUCCUUUAGCCCCUGAAAUUCUAGAAUCCUUAUCUUUCUACUACUUAGCCUUCUAUUGGUAAAUGCUAUUCUUGCUUUCUUCCAUUGGUAACCUUGAGACUGUGAUUUCUUCCUCCUAUGUGUAAGAGAUUAUGUACCGUAGGCUUGUUUGAUAAAAAUUAAGGACAUGGAGUUCCUGUCAUGGCACAGUGGAAAUGAAUGCGACUAAGAACCAUGAGGUUGUGGGUUUGAUCCCUGGCCUCUCUUAGUGGGUUAAGGAUCCGGCAUUGCUGUGAGCUGUGGUGUAGGCUGGAGGCUACAGCUCCAAUUAGACCCCUACCUGGGAACCUCCAUAUGCCGUGCUGCAGCCCUUAAAAGACAAAAAAGAUGAAAAAAGUACAUAUUAAGUACAUAAUCACUGAUUAAAUAGGUGAACAAAUAUGUAUGCAAGUGAUCAUAACCAUGAAUCACUUUUAUAAAACAAUGUGCAAGGGGCUCCUCACUUUCUGUGGAUGGUCCCAGACAUUACUCAGUUGUCUACAUGGGAAAGUCAUGGCUCAUAAGAUGAACGGGAUGGGAAAGUGGCAAUGACUCAGGACAAGCUCAUCCAGGAAAACAGUUCCAAGCAUUUCUUUUACUGAAAACUUGUCGGGAGCAUAAUCCUCUCAUACUAGAGGAAGCUCAUCAUAACCUCACAGCAUUCUUUGUUGGACUAUGUCCUAAGCACCCUUCUUAACAAGAACAACGGCAACAACAAAAGCAAUUUAAUGACUUAAAACCAAGGAUGGUAAUAACCUUGUGUUCCCUUAUAAUAGGCUACGGGUUAGACAGCAUCUUAAGCUGUGGGCCCUUUGUGGGAGGUGGUCCUAUUAUCGAAGCCUCCUCGGUGUCUCUCAGGACCAUUUCAGAUUAUUGCAUCUCUCUCCCUGAAGAAACCUAACGCGUGCUUAAAUAGCAACCUUUUUGUAUUAAAUAGCAGCCUUCUUGGUGGCACUUGGUACUAUCCAGACAGCCUGUGCUGAUUUGGAAUUCAAACUAAUACAAAGUAGCAGAAUACGGAGAAAGAAACUCCUUCAGACAAAUCUUUAUGUUUUUCACCCUGAGGCCAAGCGGGUGCAUGUUUUUAUUUUAUUUUUUAAUUUAAUUUAAUUUAUUUAUUUUGCCUUUUUGUCCUUUCUAAGGCUGCACCCGUGGCAUAUGGAGGUUCCCAGGCAAGGGGUCUAAUUGGAACUGCAGCUGCCAGCCUAUGCCACAGCCACAGCAAAGCCAUAUCCAAGCCGCAUCUGUGACCUACACCACAGCUCACGGCAACGCCGGAUCCUUAACCCAUUGAGCGAGGCCAGGGAUCGAACCUGCAACCUCAUGGUUCCUAGUCUAAUUUGUUUACCACUGAGCCAUGACAGGAACUCUGGUCCAUGUUUUUAAAGAAGAAAGUUGGGGCUUCAAAUUUGGAAUUUUAACUAUUCUGGCUCCUGAUGAUGACUAUGAAAUAUUAUGUGUUCCAGAUAAAGCAUGGGUUUCCAUUCCACCCCACCCCUCAAUUAAAAAAUAUACUAGAACUUUAUUUUAUAUAAUAUUCUCAUAGAAGCAAGAAAUUUUAAGAACUUGUCAUUAUUUCUACAUUUAAUAUUUGGUAGAAGGAUGGUUCUUAAAUCUUUACCCAUUUGCUUUGUAAAUCACUAUUCAGGAGUUAUCCUUGUGGCUCAGUGGGUGAAAACUUGACAGAGUCUUGGUGAGGAUGCAGGUUUGAUACCUGGCCUUGUUCAGUGGGUUAAGGAUCCAGCAUUGCCGAAAGCUACGGCAUAGGUCACACAUGAGGCUCAGGGAGGGUGUUGCUGUGGCUGUGGUGUAGGCCUACAGCUGAAGCUUUGAUUCGACCCCUAGUCCACGAACUUCCAUAUGCCACAGGUAUGGCCACAUAGAAAAAAAGAAAAAAAAAA
rnacentral:lncRNA from 1 species